AUAAAGGCAUUUGAGAAGGUGGAUAUAAGAUAAAGGCAUUUGAGAAGGUGGAUAUAAGAUAAAGACAUUUGAGAAGGUGGAUAUAAGAUAAAGACAUUUGAGAAGGUGGAUAUAAGAUAAAGACAUUUGAGAAGGUGGAUAUAAGAUAAAGGCAUUUGAGAAGGUGGAUAUAAGAUAAAGACAUUUGAGAAGGUGGAUAUAAGAUAAAGACAUUUGAGAAGGUGGAUAUAAGAUAAAGACAUUUGAGAAGGUGGAUAUAAGAUAAAGACAUUUGAGAAGGUGGAUAUAAGAUAAAGGCAUUUGAGAAGGUGGAUAUAAGAUAAAGGCAUUUGAGAAGGUGGAUAUAAGAUAAAGGCAUUUGAGAAGGUGGAUAUAAGAUAAAGGCAUUUGAGAAGGUGGAUAUAAGAUAAAGGCAUUUGAGAAGGUGGAUAUAAGAUAAAGGCAUUUGAG